rnacentral:misc_RNA from 1 species
CUACAGACUUCCCACUAUCAUCAACUAUGACGAAUGGAGGAAGAUAUUGAUCAUUUGCCUUGGGUUCCUCUCUUAAUUUCUUGACGGCUUCAAGAGCACUUUUGAACUUGUGUGGUGCUUCACCGAGCACUUGUGCAUCCCACCCUCGCUUCACAACUUCCCAAUCAUUCUCGUAACGAUCCAUAGUCACAUACAUACGGCCUCCACCAGAUGCUAUUUGUGCAUCAACCCCUUUCUCACGUAAUUUGGCAAGGUCAUUUUCAAGAGUCUCUACAAAGCCUACACUUGAACCAUCCAAAACAUCACGCCCAUCAGUAAGUAUGUGGACACGGAUUCUUUUAGCACCACGCUCACUUGCUCCUUUGAGUAACAACUGAACCUGGUCUAGCCUAGAGUGCACUCCACCGUCACUCAGUAAUCCUAUGAGAUGCAAAGUGCCGGUUUCAAAGGAUUCCUUGAUGUAUUUGAAACCUUCCCCCUCAUAUAUUUUUCCAGAGGCAAGAGCAAGGUCAACAAGCUUUGCG